UACAGGGGGUGCAAACGUUGCUCGGAAUCAUUGGGCGUAAAGCGCACGUAGGCGGUCUGUUAUGUCGGAUGUGAAAGCCCUUGGCUCAACUGAGGAAGUGCAUCCGAAACUGGCAGGCUAGAGUACUAAAGAGGAUCGCGGAAUUCCCGGUGUAGAGGUGAAAUGCGCAGAUAUCAGGAGGAACACCGGUGGCGAAGGCGGAUCUCUGGGCCAUUACUGACGCUGAGGAGCGAAAGCGUGGGGAGCGAACAGG
rnacentral:rRNA from 1 species